rnacentral:rRNA from 1 species
GAUGAACGCUGGCGGCGUGCCUAAUACAUGCAAGUCGAGCGAACGGACGCGAAGCUUGCUUCUCUGAUGUUAGCGGCGGACGGGUGAGUAACACGUGGAUAACCUACCUAUAAGACUGGGAUAACUUCGGGAAACCGGAGCUAAUACCGGAUGAUAUUUUGAACCGCAUGGUUCAAAAGUGAAAGACGGUCUUGCUGUCUCUUAUAGAUGGUUCCGCGCUGCAUUAGCUAGUUGGUAAGGUAACGGCUUACCAAGGCAACGAUGCAUAGACGACCUGAGAGGGUGAUCGGCCGCACUGGAACUGAGACACGGUCCAGACGCCUACGGGAGGCAGCAGUAGGGAAUCGUCCGCAAUGGGCGAAAGCCUGACGGAGCAACGCCGCGUGAGUGAUGAAGGUCUUCGGAUCGUAAAACUCUGUUAUUAGGGAAGAACAUAUUUGUAAGUAGCUGUGCACAGCGUGACGGUACCGAAUCAGAAAGCCACGGCUAACUACGUG